CCUACGGGCGGCAGCAGUAGGGAAUUUUCCACAAUGGGCGAAAGCCUGAUGGAGCAACGCCGCGUGGGUGAAGAAGGUCUUCGGAUCGUAAAACCCUGUUGUUAGAGAAGAAAGUGCGUGAGAGUAACUGUUCACGUUUCGACGGUAUCUAACCAGAAAGCCACGGCUAACUACGUGCCAGCAGCCGCGGUAAUACGUAGGUGGCAAGCGUUAUCCGGAUUUAUUGGGCGUAAAGGGAACGCAGGCGGUUGUUUAAGUCUGAUGUGAAAGCCUUCGGCUUAACCGGGGUAGUGCAUUGGAAACGGGGAGACUGGAGUGCAGAAGAGGAGAGUGGAACUCCAUGUGUAGCGGUGAAAUGCGUAGAUAUAUGGAAGAACACCAGUGGCGAAGGCGGCUCUCUGGGCUGUAACUGACGCUGAGGUUCGAAAGCGUGGGUAGCAAACAGGAUUAGAUACCCUUGUAGUC
rnacentral:rRNA from 1 species